ACUAACAUCAGUAGAGUUGCUCCAGUUGUGGUGAGAUAGCUACUAGCCAAGAGUUGCCUCAGUUCAUUUAUAGACAAAAUACUGUCCAGAAAAGGGACAUACUAUGCAGAAUAGUCGAUUUAUAAUCUCUGACAAGACAAGGUAAUCAGUCCUUCAAAAUUCUGUGCUACAAAGGUCUGUCAGAUGAUUCUGGGCCAGAAAGCUGAAGACUGAUGCUCCAACAUUUUGAGGAACGGAGGACUGUCCAGGUGUUCAGCGGUCUCUAAAAAUUGGCUUAGUUUUGGAACUCCUUCUAUUUUCAGGGUUUGAUUGGCUGGCAAAUAUGUGCAUAAUCAGUGGCUGUCAAAUAAAUUAUACCUAAAGAAAUCCA